UCAGGAUGAACGCUGGCGGCGUGCCUAACACAUGCAAGUCGAACGAACGAUAAUUAAUGAAGACCUCGGUUGAAUUUAAUUAAAGUUAGUGGCGGACGGGUGAGUAACRCGUAAGUAAUCAACCCAUGACAGAAGGAUAACUAAGAGAAAUUUUAGCUAAAACUUCAUAAAUUAAGACUACGGGAGUAGACUUAAAGAAAACUGAGGUGGUCAUGGACGAGCUUGCGACUGAUUAGCCAGUUGGUGAGGUAACGGCCCACCAAAGCAACGAUCAGUAGCCGACCUGAGAGGGUGAUCGGCCACAUUGGUACUGAGAACGGACCAAACUCCUACGGGAGGCAGCAGUGGGGGAUAUUGCACAAUGGAGGCAACUCUGAUGCAGCAACGCCGCGUGAGUGAAGAAGGCUUUCGAGUCGUAAAACUCUGUCGUAUGGGAAGAAAAAAAUGACGUACCA
rnacentral:rRNA from 1 species